CUUCCUGUACAUCAACGCCAGAAGUUCCAAGCUACGUUGAUUGAUUAUGACUUAGAGGUUGGCAAAAUAUUUGCCUCUAUCAAGCAAUGUUUGAAUACUAUUGGUACAAAGCAGUCCAAUCUAGCUGCUACAUUUGGAGAAUUGAUUGAUGAGGUUCUUCGGGCCGAUGAAUCUGUUACACCAAAUACUACAGUGGUAGGUGGCACAGUUGAAAAUGAUUCUGGACCAGUAUUUGACAAGACUCCUAUUGGGAGUGUUUCUGCACCAGGUCUCUUCUUAUCUGAAUUAGAAUGUGCUCGCGCUCUUCGGGCAUACUUGUGUUCUAGGUUCAUUGAAUUGGACAGAAAUAUAAUUGACUUUGGUGAACAUCGCGCCAA